UACGGAGGAUGCAAGCGUUAUCCGGAAUGAUUGGGCGUAAAGCGUCCGCAGGUGGUUUUGUAUGUCUGCUGUUAAAGCGUGCGGCUUAACCGCAUAAGGGCGGUAGAAACUACAAGACUAGAGUACGUUCGGGGCAGAGGGAAUUCCCAGUGUAGCGGUGAAAUGCGUAGAGAUUGGGAAGAACAUCGGUGGCGAAAGCGCUCUGCUAGGCCUGUACUGACACUGAGGGACGAAAGCUAGGGGAGCGAAU
rnacentral:rRNA from 1 species